rnacentral:rRNA from 1 species
GUUAGGAAUAUUGGACAAUGGACGCAAGUCUGAUCCAGCCAUGCCGCGUGAGUGAUGAAGGCCUUCGGGUUGUAAAGCUCUUUAGCCGAUGAUUAUAAUGACUGUAGUCGGAAAAUAAGCCCCGGCUAACUUCGUGCCAGCAGCCGCGGUAAUACGAAGGGGGCGAGCGUUAUUCGGAAUCACUGGGCGUAAAGCGUGCGUAGGCGGUUUUGUAAGUUGGGAGUGAAAGCCCAGGGCUCAACCCUGGAAUUGCUCUUAAAACUGCAAGGCUCGAAUCUCGGAGAGGAUAGCGGAAUUUCCAGUGUAGCAGUGAAAUGCGUAGAUAUUGGAAGGAACACCAGUGGCGUAAGCGGCUAUCUGGACGAGUAUUGACGCUGAGGCACGAAAGCGUGGGGAUCAAACAGGAUUAGAAACCCUGGUAGUCC